AGCUCCAUACUUUAAAAAAAAGAUUUGAUUUGCAAUCAACCAUUGGGUUAUACCUCUGGAACUA
rnacentral:tRNA from 1 species